CCGGACAUGUUGUGCUCUCAGACCACUGAUCGAAAGAAACGGAGGCAGAGAAAGCGGAGAAGCGCCAUUUUGUAUGGAACGUUAUCAAACGUUAAAGCUUUGUGGACGAUUCUGUGGAGAGAAGGCGAGAGGUCGCUAUCCAUGGCUUAGUGGUGUAUCUCAGGGAAAAGGAGGAGGAUCUCUUCAAAGAGCAGGAUGGUGGCGGGGAUAUUACCAAUGAAGUGAUGAAGAUUGUAACCAGAGGUGCCACAACGUCUGAUCCAGCCAGCGCAAGGAUCAUACUUGAAGGAACAGAAGUCCUAGCAGACCUGGAUGUACCCAGAGCCUGUGCCUUGCUAAUGGGGCUGAUAUAUGCACUCAACCUCAGCUACCCAAAAGAACUGAAAAACACUUUUGAAGUGUUUCAAAAGAUAUUCCUCGAGCUGGAUGAUCUGAAAGCCAGUCCUAAGGAGGAAUGUGGAACGAGAGAAAGCAGUGAGCACGGGGAGUGCAGAGACACUGGAGCAGAGCGCACUACACUGGGACUUCUUGGGAAGAAGACACGACAUGGGAGUCUGGGACACUAGGGGAUUUAUUGUUGCUUACUUCACCACC